rnacentral:rRNA from 1 species
UGCAUCUCAUACAUGCAAGUCGAAUGUAGGUGGAUUUAUCUACUAGCAUGGCGAAUUGGUGCGUAUAAGAUGAGAACCUCCCCUUUAGUGGUGGAUAAUCUCUUGAAAAGGAGGGUAAUACAUCAUAAAUCACUAUGUGAGAAAGAUUUUUAAUCGCUAGAGGAUGGGCUCAUCCAGGAUUCAGAUUGUUGGUGAGGUAAAGGCUCACCAAGUUUAUUAUCCUUAACCAACCUUAACGGGUGUACGGUCACACUGAGAUUGAGAUACAGCUCAGAUUCCUAUGGGAAGCAGCAGUAGAGAAUAUUAAUCAAUGCGGGAAACCGUGAAUUAGUGACACUGUUUGAAGUUGAAGGUCUUAAUUGAUUGGUACUUCAAACGAGGAUACCUUCGGGUGUCCUUUGUUUAAAACCGCUUAACUUCGUGCCAGCUACGCGGUAAUACGGAGGGUUUGAACGUUAUUCAGCUUUAUUAGGUGUAAAGAAUUUGUUGGUGUCUUACUAAGAAUGAAGUGAAAACUUCAUGCUCAACAUGAAGAAGCUUCAUUAACUAGUAGGAUUGAUCAGUAUUAAAGAUGAUAGAAUUCUUAGAGAAGAGGUUAAAUUCGUUGAUACUAAGAGGAAUACCAGAGACGAAGGUGAUCAUCUGAAUACUUGAUGACACUUAAGAAUGAAGGCGUGGGGAGCGAGCAGGAUUAGAUACCCUGUUAGUCCACGCAGUAAACGCUGAUGGUUAGGAUCUUUUUUAGAAGUUUUGAGUAUUUCUAAAAAAGAUGACAAAGUUAACACAAAACCAUCCACCUGAAGAUUACGGUCGCAAGGCUAAAAUUUAAAGGAAUUGACGGGGGCUUGCACAAACGAUGGAGCACGUGACUUAAUUCGAUGAUCCACGAGAAUCUUACCAUUCCUUGCAUCUUCCUUAUAUAUCCUGUCUUACUAACAGGAUUUUGGUUGACAGGUGUUGCAUGGCCGUCUUCAGCUCGUACUGUGAAGCGUUGGGUUAAGUCUCAUAACGAGCGAAACCUUUUCUGUUGGUUGCUAAUUGAUGUUGAUCAAAAGAACUCCAGCAGUAACUUUUGAACUUUUUUGUUUCAGAAUGAAAUGAGGACGACGUCAGGUCAUCAUGACCCUUAUGGGAUGGGCUGUACAUUUGCUACAAUGAUCUUUACAAAGUGAUACACUAAACAUGUGUUUAAACAUUAAAGAGGAUCUUAGUUCGGAUUGGAGGCUGAAACUCGCCUCCAUGAAGUAGGAACCGUUAGUAAUCGCGUAUCAGGAUGCCGCGGUGAAUGUGUUAUCAAGUCUUGUACACACUGCCCGUCACA